AGCGAACGCUGGCGGCAGGCCUAACACAUGCAAGUCGAACGAACUCUUCGGAGUUAGUGGCGGUCGGGUGGGUAACACGUGGGAACGUUCCUUUUGGUUCGGAAUAACUCAGGGAAACUUGUCCUAAUACCGAAUGUGCCCUUCGGGGGAAAGAUUUAUCGCCAUUAGAUCGGCCCGCGUCUGUUUAGCUAGUUGGUUAGGUAACGGCUCACCAAGGCGACGAUCAGUAGCUGGUCUGAGAGGAUGACCGGCCACACUGGGACUGAGACACGGCCCAGACUCCUACGGGAGGCAGCAGUGGGGAAUCUUGCGCAAUGGGCGAAAGCCUGACGCAGCCAUGCCGCGUGAAUGAUGAAGGUCUUAGGAUUGUAAAAUUCUUUCACCGGGGACGAUAAUGACGGUACCCGGAGAAGAAGCCCCGGCUAACUUCGUG
rnacentral:rRNA from 1 species